UGCCUCUUCAGUUCCAGAGGCUUCUUCUGGUGUCUGUAGCUCUUGACAGUGGUACUUCACCUUCAGUGGUUUGCCGGGGUACCAGACCAAGUGAAUAUGACAGGGAAUCAUUUCCUGGGAAAUAAGAGUUCUAAAAUAUUACGAUCUGCAAAAACUUGUGGUUUAAACAGUUCUAUAUACCGUUUUGUUUUACCUGUGUUGAGAAUUCAUGGAGUAGAACAGUAUAAUCAAAAUCAAUUGCAUCUUCGUUUGUUUUCUAGAAGAAGAAAGAAAGAGUUAGUGCGAUAGAUAGUGUGGGUUUAUAUUAGCUUAGAAUUUGGAAGGCUCGUCUUAUAUCACCUGCCUUGAAUGGGUGGAUGGGUGCCUUGAAUCACCUGCCGCCUCUUUGAUUCUAGCCUCAUCUCCUUUGGUGGUAUCCUGCAUUAAGAUGUGGAAGUUGUUGAUUCUUACUGUUUUGCCACUGUCAUGAUAAUCUAGUAAGGUCCUUCUGUCACUUUUUCUCUCUUAAUAUUUAUGGGUUCUGAUGGAGAUUAAGGUCUAUGAGAAUAGGGAGAAUCUUUUGACAGCCUAAGGAAUCUAGAUACUGUAUACGCACCUCAAGCUGAUUUAUAGCCCUGAUAUGCCAGGCAGUAAGACAAGGGGCAGGGCAAUCAGGAUUUCUAGAAGGACACCAUGGGCCAGGUUCUCUGCUAGGCACUUUAUACAUGUUCUUACGGAAUUCUGUCUUGCAAGAAUAUGUAUUAUGAGCCUUCUUUUACAGGGAAGGCAACUUGAGGUUACAACUAGUAGGUGACAAGUGGGGAUUCAAACCCAGAUCUACUGACUCCACCACCCAUAUCCUUCAUGCUGUACCACACUGCUUCUAAAACCAGCACAUUUUAUAGUGAUGAAGACUUUUACAAGCCAUGAAAUUUCCAUCAGGUGGAGGGGGUACUGGAGGGAUAUGAUACAAGAGAGGGCCUGGAUCAAUCAGAAAGUGACUGCUUUUCUGUGGUACUUUGCGUCAUUGGCCAUCAGUAUCUCCCCUGCCCUUGGCUUAGUCCUCAUGGUUUGGGAAUGACAUCUGUUCUUCAGUCCUAAGGCAAUAACUGCCGGUAAGAUGGGUCUUAUAUUUGUAUUGCAGCUAUUUCUUAGCCCACUCUUCUCUCAGGCUGUGUUCAUUUGGGGCUGUGAAGUUUAUAAGGCUGCACUGCCUUACACAAUUGGAUUAUCCCUGAGUGGAGAGAUAGUAAUUCCCACCCAGUAAGCUUUUGGAAAAAACUAUAAUCCCUAUAGAUUCCCGAGCUACCUUGGGCCACGGGCACCUCCAGUCACUCCCUGCUUCUCUGUCUUUGCUUUGUCACCCCUACUGUCCUGCUUCUAGUCUCCAGGGACAGUCCCUAGACUUUCUGAUUGUAGUGACUUUUUUAGAAAUUGUUGCUUGUUUUGCUUGUUGUUACAUAACUUGGAUGGGAGGCCGCCUGGGAAUACUGGGUGCUGUAGGCUUUAAAAAAAAAAAAAACUCUAAUCUGAAAUGCAUAUCAGCCUUAAUCCAAAUUUUCCAAUUGCUUCAGUAUUUUAGCUUUAUGUUAGUUUCGAGGGCUUCAUUCAAUAAGCUUGUUGACCCUCAUUUCAUAGCCCUAAGAGAAGAAGUCAUUUGCCUUAGGUGACCCAACCAAGUCAGCUGCAUCUUCAAUUACUAUUUAUCUAAAACACAGACACCACAGGGUAAAAAAAUCUAAAAGUCCUGUUCCCCCUGCAUUUUUGUUUUCUUAGCUCUACAAUUACAUUUGUCCCCACUUUCCCACUUGUAGGGAUAUUAAUGGACAGAUGAUGGACAUCAAAGACAGACUGGCUAGAAUGAGUGAGAAAUGGGGCUGCUGUUUUCAAGCCAUAGUAAGUCCUGGUGUUUACUUAGGUGAUGUGUCAUUUAUAAAUGCAGAAGAAUGGAAAACAAUGCCAUUAAAAGAUCCUAAUUUUUUCUCGUGUCCCUGUUGCUCUAUUCUUAUUGAGUUUUCCUCUGACAUUCAUUAAAAUUAGUUCUAUUAUCUUGACGCCAUUUUCUACACUCAACAAAAAAUUUCCCCUAACUUCUCAGUUAAAGGAAAAGCCUUCUGUUGAGGACGUGAUUGUCUUGGUAGACGAGAGAAACUUUUUACCUGCAGCCAAAGAAUCGGUGCUGUGCCCUAACUCCUGGUGUAACAGCAGUCAAUUACACGGCCAUUUCUAUCAAAGCCACUCCAUAGGGGAAAGAAACGUUCAUUUCGAUAAGGAAUGAAACUACAUUUCAAACAGUUGUCUGCUUCACAAGUGGCCUUUGAAAGGUACACCGAGCUAUUACCAGCAUGAAUAAUGCUGGCUGGACGCCAGGCAACUCCUUGUACUCGGAAGAUACUCACUGCUCUCCAUCCAUGGCGAAUGUACUGCUUCAGCCACCCGUGAAGAAAACGAUUUUUAGAAAUGUGUACUUAUGGUUGGCUCAGCCUGCCUCUGAGUAGUUGAUACUGUUUACUCUGGAAGUGCCCCUCCCUCUCCACAUGACAGGUGCCUGACAAAACCCCCCACUCAGCCACCUCCUUGUCCGCACCCCACCAGUUGAGUGACUGGCCCUUCUCUAAAUUCGCGACCACAGACCUUCAGAGGCCUGCAGUGCUGCAUGAUGCUCGAAUCCACGCACUCCCACCCCCUCUCACCUCCUGUUCCAUCCUCACGCUCAGCUGGUGACUUUGCCUCAUUUUUCACUGAGAAGACAGAAGCAGUCAGGAAAGAACUUCCACAGGCCGUCACGUGAUACCCACCCUCCUACCAGCAUCUGUGCCACAUUGAAAGCCUUGCUCCAGGUGAACUCUGUGCCCUUGUCCAGUCAUCUCCUGGAUCGAUCAUAUCCUCUCUUUAUCUCCUCAAAGAUGUUAACUCCAACAAGUCUUCCUUCUCUUCCCUACAAGUCCUACUUUGCCCCUCUCUACUGGAUUUUUCUCAUCAACAUAUAAAUAUGCCGUUAAAUUGCCCAAUCUAAAAAUACAACGGAAAACCCUCCUUCAACCCUGUGCUUACGCAUCCUCCAGCUCUAGCCCCCUCCCUCCCUUUUACUCCGCUUUAUAGCUAAAUCCCUUGAAAGACAUGGAGUGUCCGCUUCCUCUCCCGUUCUUUCCUGAACCUAUUCUAAUCAGGACUUUGCGCACACUGUGCCAGUGAGGCAGCUCUUGAUAAGCUCUCCAUCUGCUUCCAGCUCGCCUAAACCUAAUGGCAGUUCUCGGUCCUCAUCUUUCUUGACCUUCCAGCAGCAUUUGAUAGUCAGUUCUCAUCCUUGAAACACUUUUUUUUCCCUCAUAUCUCUAAACCCUCUAAAGUUGGAAGUGUUCCAGGACUCAAUCCCUACAUAACCUUCCUCUGUUUACACUCAUUCUCUCAUCUCAACCACUCUUGAGGCUUUAAAAACCAUCUAUGUGGUGAUGACUCCAGCCUAGACAUCUCCCCUGAACUUCAGACUCUUAUGUCCAGAUGACGAUACAAAUUCUCUGCUUGGUUAUGGAAUUUAGAAUGCUCCAACUCAAGCUAAUUUCCACCCAAAUCUGUUCCUCUGUAGUCUUCCCCAAUCAGUAAGUGAAAACUCUAUCCUUCCAUCCAGUUACUCAGGCCAAAAUCAUAAGAAUCAUCCUUGACUUUUCUCAUUCUUGGAUAUAUCCAUAUCUAACCCAUCAACAAAUACUGCUGGUCUACCUUCAAAAUGCAAACACUUCUCACCACAUCCACUGCUGCCACCCUGGUCCGAGCUACCACCAGGCCUUGCCUAGGCUACUGCAAUACAUUACUGCUCUCCUUGCUUCCACCCUUGUCUAUCUACAGUCUGUUCUCAACACAGCAGCCAGAAUGAUCCUGUUGUAAGUCAGAUCGUGUCACUUCUCUGCUAAAAACCCUGUAGUGAGUAAAAGACAGGGUCCUUCUAAUGGCCUUCCAUGAACUGACCGCCUCCAUCCGAUCUCAUCUCCCGGCACGCUCCCCUUGCUCAAUCUCUUGCAGCCAUACCGGCCUCACUGCUGUUUCUCCAACCCAUCAGCCACAAUGCUGCCUCCGUCCCCUCUGUCUGAAAUGCCUUCCCUUCUGGAGGCGUGGCUCACUCUCACUUCCCUUAGGCCUCUGCUCCAGUGUCACCUCUGCUUAAAUUAGAGGGGCCUUGCUUUAGACUAAAGUUUAAUUCUGUCAAUACCCUGCAUUCCCUUUUCCCUACUUUAUUUUUCUCCAUAGCACCUACCACAUAUUUACUUGUUUAUCGCUUCACUGUCUUUCUUCUCUUGGUAGAAUUAGUCUCAAUAAGGAGAGCUACACUGAGUUUUUUGUUUAGUGCUAUAUCCUCAGUCCCCACAACCAUACCUGGCAUUCAGAUAUUUAUUGAGUUAAUGAAAUGCAAUUAAAACUCUUGCCACAGAACUAGAAGUUCACAUUAAUUUAGUCUAAGAACAUUGCAUUGGUUGUAUCUCUUGUGGUACAAGUUAAUUGUCAGUUUUUCUUACCCACUGCUUCACACUGCUGAGC